AGGUCCCCCAUGUCAAUCUCUAUCAGGUCCAUCAUGGGUGAAAUCGAGUCCUAUGGAAGAGGGGUCAGAUAUUGCUGGGAAGGGACUGGGUGGCCCUAUAACGGUGUCGGAUGAUACAGUGGGGGCUCUGAAUUAUAUUGUGACGGUGUCGGAUGAUAUGACGAAGGAGCAGAGUUGAAUCGAGGUGGCGUUAAAUCCUCUUGUUGUAGGGGUGGCUCAUAGUGUGGAAGUGGUGGAGGGUCAAACAGUUCCUUCCUCUCUUCCUUGGCCUACUGGGCAGAGAUGAGUUUCUCUAAAAUCUUGAAGAGCCAAUCAAUAUCCUCUCGAAGCAACCCAUCUCGAGCUGCCCUGUUCAGCAAGAGACCUCUUCUCCUCAUGUCUUUGUACUUAUUUUUAACAAGGAAGGGCUGAGUAAUAGUUCAUAUUUAGUGUUUCCUAGGAUUUUUGUGUAAGGAAUGGUUCCGUGGAACGUGGCUCUAAAACCAAUUAUAGCAGCCUGUGAACUUGAAAAGAAAUAAAUUAUAAAUUGAAUGUGGAAGCGAAAUAAAUAGUUAGAGUUUACACUCCUUAUACAAUAAUUUAGAUUACCCAGUAGAGUUACAAGAAUGACUCUUUUAAAUGAAAUAAC
rnacentral:lncRNA from 1 species